GGGGCGGCUGAGGGGCGCCGAGUGUGAAAUACAAAGCUGUGUUCCGUGCCAGCACAACAUUUAAGGUACAUGGUCCAUCAUUUCAAAAUGGCAAUGUGCAUCUGUGAGCCUAAACAAUUUCCCAGUCAGAGAACUGCUCUUCAGUCUUGAGACUGAGAUCAGCAUGGUUUUAGCCUGUGAGAAGCUGUCUGAAAAGGAUGAAAUGCAGCAGCUGACAAGAAUCCCCACUUUAGUUUCACAGAGAAGGAUAGGUAUGAAGGAUUUCACUUCUGUCCUUGUCUUCUCAAAACAAGAAACUGCAAUAUUGAAUUUUGCCUUCUGAUAUUAUUCUACAUGUCUAAUCUGAUGGGCUACUGAUAAGCAAGAAAUACCAGCACUAAUAAGGUUUUUAUUUUUGGCACACUGUGUUCAGCAGCCAGUUAUAAUAAUGGGUUACAUGGCAGCAGCUCAUAAUCAGGUAAUUAUGGUGAAAAAGAGCCCUAAACAUAACUUUCUGCUUUUCAAAUAACCACAAGAACAUUAACAGUAUAUAAGCUGCAAGUUAUUCUUCAGCAACUUCUAUGACUAAAACAGUAUUUUUAAGUUCUGCUUAGAUUAAACCAUACAGAUUUGUUUAUACAGGGAGCUCAUCAAACUCCUGCCUCAACAGCUGGGACAGCAUUAGUCCUUGUUCCUUCCACACAGUCCAUUCAGAUGUUACACCUGUUAGCACAGCACUACUGUACCUGUUUGCUUUACAUUUAAUCCUUUCUUAUUCCUUACAGUUUUAAAUAUAACCAACACAGGUUGGCUAUUCUUUCCCCUGUUUUUCAGGCUCACUACAACUGUCAACUCAAACCAACUAAGUCCCCAUUUGUUUUGUUUUAUGUAGUAUCCAAUGGCAGUAGGUGCAGGGACAGUGUACAGUAGAUGGAAUGAAGUCCAUGGUGUAUGCACACAGCUUACACAGCCACUCCAGUAUCAGUAUGCAGUAUCCCUCACACAGCACACACUUUCCUCCUUCUGUUACUGUCUAACACUUAGACAUCAUACCUAAAACUUCAGAGCAUUUAUACCCAUUGCCUGUCUAACCCUCAGAAAGGCCCUGGGGCAGAUACUGUCCCAUUUUACAGAUGGGGAAACUGAGGCAGGAGUAUUAAUGGCUUGUCCAAUACUGCAAGUAAAAGCUCAUCCAAAAGUUCCCACUUCAAUAUUAUGGCUGUAAAUUGGUUGUAUCUAAGGUACUAAAAUCAUGGCAACAAGAAGCCAUACUUCAGAAUACUAAGCCUUCAUUGUUAUUAUUUUAACUAUUAUUAUUACUAUUAUUAUUUCUACAGAAUACAAAUCAGAUAUGUUAGUAGCAGUUUUUUUGCUUUAUAACAGAAGUGAGAGACUCCAGAUGAAACAUGGGAUUAAGAAAUGAUGGUAUAAAAUAAUUCAAAACCCAACCAGUGAUGAAUUAUGUUUAAUACUAGAAAAGCCAAAGAAAGUUUUCAGACCAAAAAGUAUUAAUUUAAAAAAUAAAGAACAAGACAUUUCAAAAUGGUUUAAGCUGACAUUAUGUUGUUUUAUUUCAAUUUCACAAAAGAAAUACUUUAUAAAACUAAAAUCAGUUAACCCAGCCACUAUCAACAGAGGGUGGUAUAAGCAAAAGACACUAGGUCAGAACCUGCAGUGAAGAGCCAUCUGUUCCUGUCACUGGAAUGCUCCUGUACCACCAGAAUACUUCACUGGGGAAAGGAGAGAACCGGGGUUUUACAGCAGUUUGGAGAAGCAUAAUAGCUCCUCCUAGUUGGUGCUUUGUUGCUACCCAGGUCUCCUCUGUAUCAUAAGUGUAACAAGGAUUUACUGAUUUUGGAAAGGACAGAUCCAGCAUAGCAAAGGCAAGAAAAUUUUCAAUUCAAUUUUAUGCAAAUUU